rnacentral:tRNA from 1 species
UAGCGAAGUAGAGCAGUUGGUAGCUCAUUGGGUUCAUAACCCUAAGGUCAAUGGUUCAAGUCCAUUCUUCGCAAA